AGUAACACGUGGGUAACCUGCCCCGAUGAUUGGGACAACCCGAGGAAACUCGGGCUAACACCGAAUGUGCCCUACAGCUUCAAGGCUGGUGGGGAAAGGAAGCUUCGGCCUCCGCAUCGGGAUGGGCCCGCGGCCCAUUAGCUUGUUGGUGAGGUAACGGCUCACCAAGGCAACGAUGGGUAGUCGGCCUGAGAGGGCGACCGGCCACACUGGGACUGAGACACGGCCCAG
rnacentral:rRNA from 1 species